rnacentral:tRNA from 1 species
AAUAUGGUAAGCUAAAAAAGCUUUCGGGCCCAUACCCCGAAUAUGUUGGUUAAACCCCCUCCCAUAUUA